ensembl:snoRNA SNORA72 Small nucleolar RNA SNORA72
UUGCAAAUAUUCUCACUAUCGUGAUUCUGUAAUAAUCAGGGAGGGCUAAACGUUCACUAUAUUAAGACCAUGCGUGUGUCCCCAGACCUAGUUCUUUUCCUUGGUCUGUUUUCAUAAACGCUGGGGAUAAAC